rnacentral:rRNA from 1 species
UACAGAGGGUGCGAGCGUUAAUCGGAAUUACUGGGCGUAAAGCGCGCGUAGGCGGCUUUGCAAGUCGGGUGUGAAAUCCCCAGGCUUAACCUGGGAACUGCAUUCGAGACUGCAUUGCUAGAGUAUGGGAGAGGGAAGUGGAAUUUCCGGUGUAGCGGUGAAAUGCGUAGAUAUCGGAAGGAACAUCAGUGGCGAAAGCGACUUCCUGGACCAAUACUGACGCUCAUGUACGAAAGCGUGGGGAGCAAACAGG